rnacentral:rRNA from 1 species
AUUGAACGCUGGCGGCAUGCCUUACACAUGCAAGUCGAACGGCAGCAUGAUCUAGCUUGCUAGAUUGAUGGCGAGUGGCGAACGGGUGAGUAAUACAUCGGAACGUGCCCUGUAGUGGGGGAUAACUAGUCGAAAGAUUAGCUAAUACCGCAUACGACCUGAGGGUGAAAGUGGGGGACCGCAAGGCCUCAUGCUAUAGGAGCGGCCGAUGUCUGAUUAGCUAGUUGGUGGGGUAAAGGCCCACCAAGGCGACGAUCAGUGGCUGGUCUGAGAGGACGAUCAGCCACACUGGGACUGAGACACGGCCCAGACUCCUACGGGAGGCAGCAGUGGGGAAUUUUGGACAAUGGGGGCAACCCUGAUCCAGCAAUGCCGCGUGUGUGAAGAAGGCCUUCGGGUUGUAAAGCACUUUUGUCCGGAAAGAAAUCGCACUUACUAAUAUUAGGUGUGGAUGACGGUACCGGAAGAAUAAGGACCGGCUAACUACGUG